UCCUGGGAUAGCUCAGUUUGGUAGAGCAUGAGAUUUAAUCUUAGGAUUGUGGGUUCAAGCCCCAUGUUGGGCA